UGGUCCCACAAAUCCGUCGCUUGGGUUGUUUACUUUCGUGUGAUGAGGAUCUGUUGACUGUGUCUCGUCUGCGAUUGGCUAGAGGGAGAUAGAGGAUGGACCGACGCGUAUGAACCCGCUGGUUGUGUCUCGUCUGCGAUUGGCUAGAGGAAGAUAGAGGAUGGACUGACGCGUAUGAACCCGCCCCGCGAAAUAUGACGGGUGGGCCUUGUUGGCUGAUGGUCCCACACAACGGUAGCUGGGCUUGUUUUCUUCCGCGUGCAUAUUGACCGGGUCAUCCAGCGGGAGAUAAAAAUCGUCCCCGCCGCGCCCGGCACACCUCCCUCCUCCACUCCACUUGGAAGCCUUCGUCUGCGGCGUCAUACCACUGCCGGGGUGCCGCGCAAGAGGUCAGGAUCCGCCGCCACCGCGAGCCAGGGGACGCCCGUUGGUGAGCCUGCAUGCAGGAAGCCGACGGGGAGCACGGCGUCAACAAGCCGACAGGAGGCGGGGUCUUCCCGCUGGGAUGGAGGAGCAGGCGAUGGCCGGGAGGCCACCGGUGGGGGAGCAACGAGGCCCGAGCUCUAGGAUCCGCACACAUUGCGGGAUGGAGAAGAGGCCGGCGUGGGGCGCAAGGAGCAGCAGGGGAAGAACAGUGGGGCUUUCAUCUCCUCUCUCAUCUCGACUCCUACAAACCUCGCCACUGGUGCUUGCUCGGCUUACUCAUUCUCCUCCUCUCCCCAUAUUUUCCUCUGUUGUUUGUGUUCCUUCAAUUUGCAGGGAUUGUGGGAAGCAAAUGUACGUGGGUGAGUUAUUUCUUUUGUGUGAAAGUCUCUUCCAUGCUGGUCUAUGGAUUCCUUGACGCUCUGUUCAUGACUGACUCUGUUCUUGUUUUAUCUUUUUUACCUUUGCACGGAGUUGUUCUACUCUCUCCCUCGAGGUGGGUUGAGUUGCAGUUUAGGUGGAGAUGUUGGUGCUGUUUGAGACGCCCACUGGGUUCGCCGUUUUCAAGGUUCUGAACAAGGGCAAGCUCGACAAGAUCAAGAGCUUUGUGUUCAUCUUUGUCCGUAGGAUCUAUGGAAGGAGUUCACCACAUCAGACUCGGCGAGAAAGAAUGAAGUGGCAAGCAUAGAAGAAAUGCAGAGCCAGUUUCCCUCGGAUGCAGUGUAUUACACUGAGUCUGAGGAUACACAACAGUCUAUUGAGGCUACUCCACCAUCGGUGAAAAUCCCCUACAGAAUGAUGCUGGAUGUCCUUUUAGAAUCUUUGGGUCUGCCAUUGGCUGAGUAUCGAACCAAAGUAUGCGAGGAUGGUUUGAAGUUACAAAGAAUCCCAUUUUCGUUCAGAUAUGCACGCCUUUUUUUCAUCUAGAAUCUUUGCAUUUAGGUUUAUAUUAUUGAUUCAGGUUCAGCUGUUUAGAUCAAAACUGUAAUCUUGCGUGUAGAUUGGACAGAUUAUUUCUCACUUUGAGGACUCCGUUUUGUUCAUCGGAAAGUUUUCCCAGUGUCGUUCUUCCAAAAAUGAAUUGAAAUUACUAAGAUUCAUGCAAGUUACUUGGCAAA